AGGACGAACGCUGGCGGCGUGCUUAACACAUGCAAGUCGAGCGGAAAGGCCCUUCGGGGUACUCGAGCGGCGAACGGGUGAGUAACACGUGAGUAACCUGCCCUAGCUCUGGGAUAGCUCCGGGAAACCGGGAUUAAUACCAGAUACGACCACUUUAGACAUCUGUCGUGGUGGAAAGGAUUCCGGCUAGGGAUGGGCUCGCGGCCUAUCAGCUUGUUGGUGGGGUAACGCCUACCAAGGCGACGACGGGUA
rnacentral:rRNA from 1 species